UUUCCUAAGCCAUGUUUGGGUGGGUGUCGGGGGGUCCUGAGGGCUGGAGGCUGAGGCUGGCAGCCAGCCUGGGAUGGGGUUGGGAAGGG
ensembl:miRNA